CAGUCCUGAUUGAGAAGAUCAAAGAUAUUGCUGUGAUGACCAUUAUCCAUCUUUUAUCUAACAAAAUGUGACUACAAAUAUACUACACAACGUAUUCGCCUGUCUUCAAGAUAGUAUAAGAAUGAUUUCGAGUAAAUUUGGCUACUACUUCCAGAAAAUCAAAUCGGAGGCUCCUAAAGUGGAAAGCAUUGCACUCCUAGGGAGCGAUAGAAAGAUCCAGAGGCGUUGAAGAAAAGCGAGAGUGAUAAUGAUAUCUGUGUGUGUGUUUGUGCAUGUGUGUAUGUAUGUAUAUAUGUGUGUGCAUAUAAGCCAUAUACGCAACAUACUGUGACUCGUAUACAAGCAAGGCAAAGGGACAAAGACAGGCAUAAAGUGUUUGGGUUUACAUAUAAUGAAGAAAAAAAAAAAAAA
rnacentral:lncRNA from 1 species